AGGCUUAAACACAUGCAAGUCGAGCGCCCCUCCUUCAAGCAAGCUUGAAGGAUUUACUCCUUGGAAAAGAAGAUCAAGAGCGCUUCUAAGAAGCUUUCUUGAUGGAGGGGAGCGGCAGACGGGUGAGUAACGCGUGGGAAUCUACCCUUUUCUACGGAAUAACGCAGGGAAACUUGUGCUAAUACCGUAUGUGUCCUUCGGGAGAAAGAUUUAUCGGGAAAGGAUGAGCCCGCGUUGGAUUAGCUAGUUGGUGGGGUAAAGGCCUACCAAGGCGACGAUCCAUAGCUGGUCUGAGAGGAUGAUCAGCCACAUUGGGACUGAGACACGGCCCCAA
rnacentral:rRNA from 1 species